rnacentral:rRNA from 1 species
UACGGAGGGGGCUAGCGUUGUUCGGAAUUACUGGGCGUAAAGCGCGCGUAGGCGGACCUGCAAGUCGGGUGUGAAAUCUCAGAGCUCAACUCUGAAACUGCACUCGAUACUGCUUUGCUCGAGGACUGGAGAGGAGAUUGGAAUUCACGGUGUAGCAGUGAAAUGCGUAGAUAUCGUGAGGAAGACCAGUGGCGAAGGCGGAUCUCUGGACAGUUCCUGACGCUGAGGCGCGAAGGCCAGGGGAGCAAACGGG